rnacentral:rRNA from 1 species
AGCGAACGCUGGCGGCAGGCCUAAAAACAUGCAAGUCGAACGGAUCCUUCGGGAUUAGUGGCGGACGGGUGAGUAACACGUGGGAACGUGCCUUUUGGUUCGGAACAACUCAGGGAAACUUGAGCUAAUACCGAAUGUGCCCUUCGGGGGAAAGAUUUAUCGCCAUUAGAGCGGCCCGCGUCUGAUUAGCUUGUUGGUGAGGUAAAGGCUCACCAAGGCGACGAUCAGUAGCUGGUCUGAGAGGAUGACCAGCCACAUUGGGACUGAGACACGGCCCAAACUCCUACGGGAGGCAGCAGUGGGGAAUCUUGCGCAAUGGGCGAAAGCCUGACGCAGCCAUGCCGCGUGGAUGAUGAAGGUCUUAGGAUUGUAAAAUCCUUUCACCGGUGAAGAUAAUGACUGUAGCCGGAGAAGAAGCCCCGGCUAACUUCGUG